AUAUAUUAAUAAAGGAUUAAAAAUAUUAAGAAACAAUUAAAAAACAAUAAAAAACAAAAAAUAAAUUAAGAAAGUUAAAAUGCAUAAAAUUACGCAAAUUAUACAUUCUUUAAUUAAAUAAAUACGUUAAAAAAAUAAUAUAUUAAAAUCAAUUUCACAAACAAGUAAAAUAAAAGUAAAAAAUACAUACAUAUUAAAUAAUAUAUACAAAAUUUAAAAUAAAAAUAAAAUAUAUUUAAAACAGAAUAAAAAAAAAAUGCAAAACCCUAAAAGUGCAUCAUCCCAUCUGAGACACCUCCCUCUGCCGCAACUCACCUCCUCUGCUGCAACUCGUCGCAAUGCACCCCCCUCUACCGC
rnacentral:lncRNA from 1 species